GUAAAUUCAACAACAGAAAUUGAGGAUGAGGAACAUGGUGUUGCAGUUCAAACCAGUUCCAGCCAAAAUGGACUCUAGUCACAAACAAAUAGUAAUAACAAUCCAAACUUGUGGCUGAAUAGAGUUCUGAAGUUUUGAGAAAGAGCCAAGAGAAAAUUCAGUGUGAAGAUGAUGGAGUGACACAAUAGAAGGAACCUGAAUCACUGAAUCAUCACUUGGAAGAAAGCAGCCCAGACUAGUUACCCAACUCCCAUCAGACAGUGACCAGAGUGAGAAAUAAGCCUUGUGUAUGGUG
rnacentral:lncRNA from 1 species